GACGAACGCUGGCGGCGUGCUUAACACAUGCAAGUCGAACGGAAAGGCCCUGCUUUUGUGGGGUGCUCGAGUGGCGAACGGGUGAGUAACACGUGAGUAACCUGCCCUUGACUUUGGGAUAACUUCAGGAAACUGGGGCUAAUACCGGAUAGGAGCUCCUGCUGCAUGGUGGGGGUUGGAAAGUUUCGGCGGUUGGGGAUGGACUCGCGGCUUAUCAGCUUGUUGGUGGGGUAGUGGCUUACCAAGGCUUUGACGGGUAGCCGGCCUGAGAGGGUGACCGGCCACAUUGGGACUGAGAUACGGCCCAGCCUCCUAGGGGAGGGAGCAGUGGGGAAUAGUGCAGACUGGGCGGAAGCCUGAUGCAGCAACGCCGCGUGAGGGAUGACGGCCUUCGGGUUGUAAACCGAUGUCGCCUGUGACGAAGCGUGAGUGACGGUAAUGGGUAAAGAAGCAAGGGCUAAGUACGUG
rnacentral:rRNA from 1 species